GUCGUGACUGGUUACAGUGGUUACUGCGCAGGUUCCGCGAAUCUGAUUCGCACGUCUAAAAUAUCGUGGUGGGGGUGAGUCAAAAUGUGGUCCGGCGCUGUUCGCAGUAUGGUCGCCUGCCAAUUCAUGAACUACGGCGUGCUGGAUUUCCGGUGCAAGAUGGUGCAAGAGCUUCGUGCAACAUAACCAAGAACAUCAGCUUGGCAUCUUGGCAGAUGUAAACACUGAAUUUAAUUUUGAUGUCGGCACUGAGUCUGGAAAAGUAAUUGAUGCAAACAUGGGCGAAUAUCGAGAAGAAAUUGAAGAAAGAUUCGUAAAAGCAGGUUGCGAAAUACACGGCGACUACAGGAUUGCAAAGACAUGCAAAAAUUGUCUAUUUAAAUAUCUACAAAAAAAUGCAAAACUCAUUCAGUUGCCACAUGAAAGUUGGGGAUUUGUUGCGCAAGAUCACCGCAUAAUAUUUGCUAAAGCAGAGAAUGAUUAUACUAUAAAAUUAAAUAUGAUCAUUGAUUCUCGAACAUGAACGGAGAGAUAUAUUUUAAACAAAACCAUAUAAAGUGGCUAAUACCUGAGCCAGAAUCAGUGAGAGAUAUUGUUGAAAGUUUGAAUUGUAUUGAUAAACUCUUGGUUUUUCAAAGCAUAUAAAUUUUUGUAAUGAAAUUGAUAAUAGCUUCCUCAGAACAGCUAAAUUGUACAUAAAAAUGUUUAUUGAUAUUGGAUGUGUAAAAUGCAAUGUAAUUUUUUUUAAAUAAAAUUAUGGUUUUUCCUUUA